GGCCUCAUGGUCAAGAGGUUAAGACGUUGCCCUCUCAAGGCAAAAUCAGGGGUUCAAUUCCCCUUGGGGCUACCA
rnacentral:tRNA from 1 species